rnacentral:rRNA from 1 species
UACGGAGGGUGCGAGCGUUGUCCGGAAUCACUGGGCGUAAAGGGCGCGUAGGCGGCCGUGUAAGUCACUUGUGAAAUCCCGGGGCUCAACUCCGGGACUGCAGGUGAGACUGCAUGGCUAGAGCUUGGUAGAGGCGAGUGGGAUUCCCGGUGUAGCGGUGGAAUGCGUAGAUAUCGGGAAGAACACCGGUGGCGAAGGCGGCUCGCUGGGCCAAUGCUGACGCUGAGGCGCGAAAGCGUGGGGAGCAAACAGG